rnacentral:sRNA from 1 species
UUUAAGCCUGUGUGCUUAGAAGAAAGUU